UCAGACGAUGCGUCAUGCAUAUCAAUAAGCGGAGGAAAAGAAACUAACAAGGAUUCCCCUAGUAACGGCGAGUGAAGCGGGAAGAGCUCAAAUUUGAAAUCUUAAAGGGUUUCCCUUUACGAAUUGUAGUUUAAAGAAGUGUUUUCUGUUGAGGUUUUGGUAAAAGUUCUUUGGAAUAGGACAUCAUAGAGGGUGAGAAUCCCGUAUUUGACCUUUACUUUCAACUUUGUGAUACACUUUCAAAGAGUCGGAUUGUUUGGGAAUGCAGUCCAAAAUGGGUGGUAAAUUUCAUCUAAAGCUAAAUAUUGGCGAGAGAUCGAUAGCGAACAAGUACCGUGAGGGAAAGAUGAAAAGAACUUUGAAAAGAGAGUUAAACAGUACGUGAAAUUGUCAAAAGGGAAGCGUUUGACACCAGUGUUGUUUUUCUGAAAAUCAAUUAAAGAACUGUUUAUGCUAAGUUGUUUAGACUUUAUCAGCUAACUGUUUAGUUUUGAGCUUUUCUUUAAUGCACUUUUCAGUUAACAAGUCAACAUCAAUUUCUUUUGCUGUAAAAAAGCUUGAGGAAGGUGGCUUGAGAUUCGUCUUAAGUGUUUAUAGCCUCUUGCCUAUGCAGUCGGAGAGAUUGAGGUCUGCAGCGUAGAUCCUUCGGGGCUAAAUGCAUUUGUGCUAAGUUAUAGCAUUUUAUAGACAACUUGUUGACUAUGAUUUGUCUUGUAGCUUACUCGCUUAUGUUAUUUUACCUACGCUUAGGAUGUUGAAUCUGUGCGAGACUAC
rnacentral:rRNA from 1 species